UAAGCUCCUUGGUCCUGGGCGCAACCUGACCAUCCUGCCGCGUGCAGGAAGACGGCCCUUGGGCUCUAAAUGCACCAGCGGGGAAAUUCCUCAAUACGUGUACUGAGUUGAAGGUACCCGAGACAAGGCCGGCUAACUCCGUGCCAGCAGCCGCGGUAAUACGGAGGAUCCAAGCGUUAUCCGGCCCUCCUGGGUCUAAAGGGUGCGUAGGCGGUCCUCCUAACUCAGUGGUGAAAGCCCGGAGCUCAACUCUCGGAACUGCCAUUGAUACUGAUAGACUCUGAGUACAGAUGAAGUGGGCGGAAUGUGACAAGUAGCGGUGAAAUGCUUAGAUAUGUCACAGAACACCGAUUGCGAAGGCAGCUCACUUAAAGUUGUAACUUGACGCUUAGGCACGAAAGCGUGGGGAUCAAACAGGAUUAGAUACCCUGGUAGUCCACGCCCUAACGAUGAUUACUCGCUGUUAGCGAUAUACAGUUUAGCGGCUAAGCGAAAGCUUUAAUUAUUCCCCCUGGGGAUUACGGUCGCAAGAUUGAAACUCAAAGGAAUUGACGGAA
rnacentral:rRNA from 1 species